UAGGGAAUCUUCCACAAUGGACGCAAGUCUGAUGGAGCAACGCCGCGUGAGUGAAGAAGGUUUUCGGACCGUAAAGCUCUGUUGUUGGUGAAGAAGGAUAGAGGUAGUAACUGGCCUUUAUUUGACGGUAAUCAACCAGAAAGUCACGGCUAACUACGUGCCAGCAGCCGCGGUAAUACGUAGGUGGCAAGCGUUGUCCGGAUUUAUUGGGCGUAAAGCGAGCGCAGGCGGAAGAAUAAGUCUGAUGUGAAAGCCCUCGGCUUAACCGAGGAAUUGCAUCGGAAACUGUUUUCUUGAGUGCAGAGGAGGAGAGUAGAACUCCAUGUGUAGCGGUGGAAUGCGUAGAUAUAUGGAAGAAUACCAGUGGCGAAGGCGGCUCUCUGGUCUGCAACUGACGCUGAGGCUCGAAAGCAUGGGUAGCGAACAGGAUUAGAUACCCUGGUAGUCCAUGCCGUAAACGAUGAGUGCUAAGUGUUGGGAGGCUUCCGCCUCUCAGUGCUGCAGCUAACGCAUUAAGCACUCCCGCCUGGGGGAGUACGACC
rnacentral:rRNA from 1 species